rnacentral:rRNA from 1 species
UACAGAGGGUGCGAGCGUUAAUCGGAAUUACUGGGCGUAAAGAGCGCGUAGGCGGUUAUGUAAGUCAGAUGUGAAAGACCCGGGCUCAACCUGGGAACUGCAUUUGAUACUGCACAACUAGAGUAUGGUAGAGGAAAGUGGAAUUUCCGGUGUAGCGGUGAAAUGCGUAGAUACCGGAAGGAACACCAGUGGCGAAGGCGACUUUCUGGACCAAUACUGACGCUGAGGCGCGAAAGCGUGGGGAGCAAACAGG